UCUUAGAUUCACUUUCACAUGAAACUAACGCAUUGGGCAUGUAUAGUUUUGAGCACUUUCGUCUCACUAAGUCUUCAAUACUUCUCUGAGAGAAACUGCAGAUACUGCAUUUGUAGUUGAAGGACGUACACACUGCGCGUUAUUGCUAUGUCUUUCUAAUAUUUCAUAAGUACAUAUUAUAGUUAUCAACUUUGUUCUAUAUUUCAAAGCUUUUGAUAAAUUGUAAUAAUUUAUAGUGUGAACUUGCAGCUGUUUGUGAUUUGGCAGAAUGAAAAAAAUAAAAGAAGUUAUUGUAAUCGGUCCGAUUUCAAGAUUACAAAAUUUAAACAUUUCUCGAUGUUUAAAAGUCUCUGGAAUCUAAAUAAAAGAUUUUAAGAUUUUUAAUGUCUAUGCGUGUGUACUGUAUAUACGUUCUGACGUGUGUAUGCCGGGAAAGCUUCCAUCGUCGCCCAUAUCUCAAGAAACAGUAAAGAUAUCGACUCCAAAACAAUUUUAUGUAGCGAAGAUAAACGUUUUUGACAUCUG